rnacentral:lncRNA from 1 species
GCCAGGGAUUCUACAGGGGGCCAGGGAACCUGCAGGGGGCCAGGGAUCCUGCAGGGGGCCAGGGAUUCUACAGGGGGCCAGGGAUUCUGCAGGGGGCCAGGGAUUCUUCCCCUGAGAGUGUUGAACUGGUUUAAUAGAACAGUGUUGAACUGGUUUAAUAGAACAGUGUUGAACUGGUUUAAUAGAACAGUGUUGUACUGGUUUAAUAGAACAGUGUUGAACUGGUUUAAUAGAACAGUGUUGAACUGGUUUAAUAGAACAGUGUUGAACUGUUACAUGGAACAGGACCCAGUGGGUCUGCAGGUGGAGUUUCAUAGGGAUGAAUGGAUCUGAUAGAUGGAACAGGACCCAGUGGGUCUGCAGGUGGAGUUUCAUAGGGAUGAAUGGUUCUGAUAGAUGGAACAGGACCCAGUGGGUCUGCAGGUGGAGUUUCACAGGGAUGAAUGGUUCUGAUAGAUGGAACAGGACCCAGUGGGUCUGCAGGUGGAGUUUCAUAUGGAUGAAUGGUUCUGAUAGAUGGAACAGGACCCAGUGGGUCUGCAGGUGGAGUUUACAUUUACAUUUAAGUCAAAGUUUCAUAGGGAUGAAUGGUUCUGAUAGAUGGAACAGGACCCAGUGGGUCUGCAGGUGGAGUUUAAUAGGGAUGAAUGGCUCGGUUCUGGUCAGUACAUGACUGUCCAAGAAGGAAAGUUUUCAUUGGUGCUGCUGUAAUAGUGUGACCAAUCACCAUCACUUCCCAGACAGGAGUUUUACAGACAGACAGACAGACAGACAGACAGACAGACAGACAGACAGACAGAGGGUCUUGUCAGUGGACAGACAGUCUCUCCAGAUGGUCAGUGGACAGACAGUCUCUCCAGAUGGUCAGUGGACAGACAAUCUCUCCAAAUGGUCAGUGGACAGACAGUCUCUCCAAAUGGUCAGUGGACAGACAGUCUCUCCAAAUGGUCAGUGGACAGACAGUCUCUCCAGAUGGUCAGUGCGGUAGAUCAGUGAUUUGGCUCUGAGAUUGACCACUGUGAUGGUGAUGGCACAGGAAGGAAAACACUAACGGCAGCGUGUGAUUUGUUUGGCGUGCUGGCCACUGGCGAGGUGGUAAAGUCCUCCUGUUGAUUGUGUGGUGUGGCUUGAUAAGGCUGCCAUGGCGAUGGUGUUUGUGAGAGGGGAAAACACAGUAACGUGUAACACACACACACACACACACACACACACACACACACACACACACACACACACACCUCACCCAGAGAGCAGCUGCACUUGGCAAAGGGAAUAUUUCAAUCCAUUUCUAGUAUGUCUAGUUCCUCUCCUCCCUGACAGAAUGACAUUUAGUUCCUCUGUAAUGUCUGCCGCUGUCUGAGACAGUGUUGUUCUGUCCGUCUCUGUAAUGUCUGCCGCUGUCUGAGACAGAGCUUCCUUCACUGUUUCCAUUGUUUCCUGUGAUAUAAAGGAAGUCGCCAAGACAUCUUUAUUCAUUUAAUCUCCAUUCCAAGACACCCCAAUUCAUUUAUUCUCCAUUCCAAGACACCCCAAUUCAUUUAUUCUCCGUUCCAAGACACCCCAAUUCAUUUAAUCUCCGUUCCAAGACACCCCAAUUCAUUUAAUCUCCGUUCCAGGCGUCAGGUUGGGGAGGUAGGAAACACAUGCGUGUAGCGUGAUAAGGCUGAUGGUGCUUGUGACAGGAGAAAAACACAGUAACGUGUACACGUGUACACACACACACACACACGUUUUGACGCGACCCUGAUGUAAAUGUUGCGAUGUGAAAACCCUGCG